rnacentral:rRNA from 1 species
ACUCAAGAAAAGAAUCUUAGUUCAACCUAAAGCCCUCACAAUACAAUAAAAUAACCACUCAACUUUAGAGCUACUCAAUUAAGUUACAGCUUAAAUGAGACAGGACACAACCUCCACCUAUGGGUAAUACAACUUCACAAUAAUUAAGUAGGCCUAAAAGCAGCCACCUUUUAAAAAGCGUCAAAGCCUCAUUGUAACCCCCUCCCAAAUUCCUUCAACAAACCAAAACCCUACCUCAGUACUGAGUAAUUCCAUUCACAUAUGGAAAGUAUAAUGUUAAAACUAGUAACAAGAAAACACAUUUCUCCUAAAUGUAAGCAUAAGCCAUUACGGAUAAACCAUUGGCAAUUAACUAAACAUAAACCACAGUAACACCUUCAACCCAAGAAAACCUUACUAAAACAACUAUUAACCUUACACAAGAACAUUCUAAGAAAGACUAAAAGAAAAAGAAGGAACUCGGCAAACACCGACUCCGCCUGUUUACCAAAAACAUCACCUCCUGAGCACCCAUAAGAGGCCCAGCCUGCCCAGUGAAAAUUAAACGGCCGCGGUAUCCUAACCGCGCAAAGGUAGCGUAAUCACCUGUUUCCUAAUUAGAGACCUGUAUGAAUGGCACCACGAGAGUCACACUGUCUCCUUUAUUCAGUCAGUGAAACUAAUCUUCCUGUGAAAAAGCAGGAAUUCUAAAACAAGACGAGAAGACCCUUUGGAGCUUAAGACAAAAUAAAAUUAUAUUCUCUUCCACCCCCAACAUCUCCUAUGCACAAUUUUAUUCAGUCUUUGGUUGGGGCAACCUCGGAGUAAAAAAAACCCUCCAAGAUGUCAUGGAACACUCCUAAACAAAAAGCCACAACUUUAUGUAUCAAUAAACUGACACUAUUAGACCCAUAAUUUGAUUAACGAACCAAGUUACCCAAGGGAUAACAGCGCAAUCCACUCUGAAAGUUCCUAUCGACGAGCGGGCUUACGACCUCGAUGUUGGAUCAAGGUACCCCAGUGGUGCAGCCGCUACUAAAGGUUCGUUUGUUCAACGAUUAAAACCUC